GCACUAGUAGCUCAGCUUUCAGAGCGUCG
rnacentral:tRNA from 17 species